AUUGAACGCUGGCGGCAGGCUUGACACAUGCAAGUCGAGCGGAGAUGAGGUGCUUGCACCUUAUCUUAGCGGCGGACGGGUGAGUAAUGCUUAGGAAUCUGCCUAUUAGUGGGGGACAACAUUCCGAAAGGAAUGCUAAUACCGCAUACGUCCUACGGGAGAAAGCAGGGGAUCUUCGGACCUUGCGCUAAUAGAUGAGCCUAAGUCGGAUUAGCUAGUUGGUGGGGUAAAGGCCUACCAAGGCGACGAUCUGUAGCGGGUCUGAGAGGAUGAUCCGCCACACUGGGACUGAGACACGGCCCAGACUCCUACGGGAGGCAGCAGCGGGGAAUAUUGGACAAUGGGGGGAACCCUGAUCCAGCCAUGCCGCGUGUGUGAAGAAGGCCUUAUGGUUGUAAAGCACUUUAAGCGAGGAGGAGGCUACUGAGACUAAUACUCUUGGAUAGUGGACGUUACUCGCAGAAUAAGCACCGGCUAACUCUGUGCCAGCCGCCGCGGUAACAC
rnacentral:rRNA from 1 species